AUUCACUCAAGUGAGAAGAAAAAAAAAAAAGAAAGAAAGAAAAGAAGGAAGGACACCAAAUGGUUCUUUUCAACAAACUAGUCAUCCUGGCAACUCUGCAGGACUCAAAAGGAGAAUGUACUUUACAUCUCCUUUUCCCUAGAAAGGCUCCACAUUAUCAAACACUCUCCUUAUGAUGAUUCCAUCAAGCCAAGUGAUCUAGGAUUUGUUCGGCAAAUUGAUGAUUGGUGAUAUUUUCUGGAGAUACAAAGACUCAAAGUCCCUUUGAG
rnacentral:lncRNA from 1 species